AUUGAACGCUGGCGGCAUGCCUUACACAUGCAAGUCGAACGGCAGCACGGGUGCUUGCACCUGGUGGCGAGUGGCGAACGGGUGAGUAAUACAUCGGAACAUGUCCUGUAGUGGGGGAUAGCCCGGCGAAAGCCGGAUUAAUACCGCAUACGAUCUACGGAUGAAAGCGGGGGACCUUCGGGCCUCGCGCUAUAGGGUUGGCCGAUGGCUGAUUAGCUAGUUGGUGGGGUAAAGGCCUACCAAGGCGACGAUCAGUAGCUGGUCUGAGAGGACGACCAGCCACACUGGGACUGAGACACGGCCCAGACUCCUACGGGAGGCAGCAGUGGGGAAUUUUGGACAAUGGGCGAUAGCCUGAUCCAGCAAUGCCGCGUGUGUGAAGAAGGCCUUCGGGUUGUAAAGCACUUUUGUCCGGAAAGAAAUCCUUGGCCCUAAUACGGUCGGGGGAUGACGGUACCGGAAGAAUAAGCACCGGCUAACUACGUG
rnacentral:rRNA from 1 species